UGACCAGAUUCCAGUUCAUUGACAGUGGA
rnacentral:piRNA from 1 species